rnacentral:rRNA from 1 species
UACGGGGGGUGCGAGCGUUGUCCGGAAUUACUGGGCGUAAAGGGCGCGUAGGCGGGUACUUAAGUCAGAGGUCAAAUCCCAGGGCUCAACCCUGGAACUGCCUUUGAUACUGGGUACCUAGAGUUCGGGAGAGGUGUGUGGAACUCCGAGUGUAGAGGUGAAAUUCGUAGAUAUUCGGAAGAACACCAGUGGCGAAGGCGACACACUGGCCCGAUACUGACGCUGAGGCGCGAAAGCGUGGGGAGCAAACAGG